rnacentral:rRNA from 1 species
UACAGAGGUCUCAAGCGUUGUUCGGAUUCAUUGGGCGUAAAGGGUGCGUAGGCGGCGCGGUAAGUCGGGUGUGAAAUCUCGGAGCUUAACUCCGAAACUGCAUUCAAUACUGCUGUGCUUGAGGACUGGAGAGGAGACUGGAAUUUACGGUGUAGCGGUGAAAUGCGUAGAUAUCGUAAGGAAGACCAGUGGCGAAGGCGGGUCUCUGGACAGUUCCUGACGCUGAGGCACGAAGGUCAGGGGAGCAAACGGG